rnacentral:rRNA from 1 species
UACGUAGGGUGCGAGCGUUGUCCGGAAUUAUUGGGCGUAAAGAGCUUGUAGGCGGUUUGUCGCGUCUGCCGUGAAAGCCCAGGGCUUAACCCUGGGUCUGCGGUGGGUACGGGCAGACUAGAGUGUGGUAGGGGAGACUGGAAUUCCUGGUGUAGCGGUGAAAUGCGCAGAUAUCAGGAGGAACACCGAUGGCGAAGGCGGGUCUCUGGGCUGACACUGACGCUCAUGCACGAAAGCGUGGGGAGCAAACAGG